GAAAUAGAUAAAAAGGAUUAAAUAGCACACUUAGCUUGAUGAGCGCUGAGGAAUGUAAAGAAUUGUUGGAUCAUUAUACUACACACCUGAAAGGAAUAUAAGUCUGUAUGUUAAUUUGACUCCAAAAAAUGUUUUUUAAUCUUCAUUUAUUUUUGAGAGCGUGAGCAGGGGAAGAACAGAGAGAAAAGGAGACACAGAAUCCGAAGCAGGCUCCAGGCUCUGAGCUGUCAGCACAGAGCCCGACGUGGGGCUCGAACCCACGGAGCGCGAGAUCAUGACCCGAGCCGAAGUGGGACGCUCAACCGACUGAGCCACCCAGGCGCCCCAAAAUUUUUUUUUUAAAGAAAGGAUUUUCUACCUGGAAUGCCCUCCUUCCCUUGACUCAUUCUUUGAAAUCAGUUCAGCUCAACAUCACCCCUCCUCUGAAUGCUGUCCCAGUGCUUUUCACAUCCAGUGACUUCCUUGUUCUGUGUGCCGCACUUGAGAAGGGACUCAGGGCCCUGACUCCAACCUGGAAAUAGAAAGGGAAGGUUAUGAUGCCCAUUGCUCUCGGCCAUGCUGGAGGGGUAGCCAUUGAUUUCUAUGCCUACACCCCCUGGGCCAUCCCCUAGAAUGGCGCCUGCGCCAUUGUUGGCCCAUAAUGAAUAUGCUGAAUAACAGACACAAAAAAUUGCUCAAGCCAUUUGGAUUCUCCCAGGUGGAAAAUACAUUAGAUUUAUAAAGGUUUUUUAAAAUUUUUUCCCCAUUUUUUUCUGUUGAUGAUAUUUCUAACCUCUUAGCACAACUUUGACAUGUAGUAUAGCGGACAUGUAUGGUUUUCCUUCACCAAGCCGGAGCAAGGACAAUAUUGCAUUCCCUGCACGCGUGGACCCCCCUCCAAGUCAACGAAUGUGACACUUCUGCUCUAUGUGAACUCCAGAUAAAGCAAUGUUGUUCUCUACCAGACGGUUCUAAGCUGGUUGGAUAUAAACCCAGAGCAGCCUGCGGCCUCCGUGCCACCCUGUGGGAAGGACCUACCUAAGAAAAAAUUUCAAAAAGAAGAAGGCACAACAAGAGAUGGAGAGACUGUCUCUUUGGCUUGAGAUGUAGCGUCAACCAUGCCUGAAGCUAAGUUCUGCCUGGACUUUCCAGUCUUGAGAGCCAAUAAAUUUCCCUUGUCACGUAAGCCACCUGAAGUUGGGUUCUUCUCACCUGUAACAAGAAGUCGGUACGGUGCGGUUAUUAAUGCUAAUGAAAUCCUUGUCUCUCUAAACAAAGCCCCCCCCCCCCCGCCCAUGAAAGAUAAAAGAGGGAAGAAAAUAAAAGGCCAACGGGGAGCGAGAAACUUGUCUUAUGCAAGCAUAUGGUAGUAAUUUAUCUACAUGCUUGUAAGAAUAUGAGUAUCUUGCAAGCAUGCGUCCCCAGAGCCUAGCACAGUGUGUAAACAUGGUUAAAACUCAGUAUUUCUUGGUUGAAUAAACCUGAUUUAGUCCAGUUUUUAAGCUCUGGAGUCAACUGAACCUGUUCAAAGCCUGACCAUUAUUAUUAUUUUUUUUUAACGUUUAUUUAUUUUUGAGACCGAGAGAGGCAAAGCAUGAACGGGAGAGGGUCAGAGAGAGGGAGACACAGAAUCUGAAACAGGCUCCAGGCUCUGAGCUGUCAGCACAGAGCCCGACGUGGGGCUCGAACUCACGGACCGUGAGAUCAUGACCUGGGCAGAAGUCGGCCGCUUAACCGACUGGGCCACCCAGGCGCCCCAAAGCCUGACCGUUAUUUAUUAGCCGUGUGACUUUGGCCGAGUUACUUCAUCUUUCCGAUUUUGAUUUCCUUGUCUGUCCAAUGAGCGAGCACGCUAAUGAUUAGUACCGACUUCACAUGUUGUAGGGAGAAUGGAAUAAGAUCAUGCACGGGGCAUUCACGUGGUCAGUACGCCGUGACAUGCCACGGCUGUGGCUACUACCAAACAAGAAUGAUUAGGACCUAGGCUUCCUCACGUUAACAUUUCUAUUAAAAUGUUAUUUGCUA